rnacentral:lncRNA from 1 species
UCCAAGAUGGCCGCCCUGGCACCCUCUGACUGGCUGAGGCGGGUGGCCUCCCCCAAGAUGGCCGCCCCCAAAAUGGCCGCUGGAGGGCCUAAGAUGGCCGCCUGGAGGCUGUUAGUGACGUCAGAGGUGUGUGGCAGGGCCCUGUGAUGUCACAUCCGGUGGCCAUGUUGAAUGCGGUGAUGUCAGAGGAAGCGGCCACCACCUGGAGGCUGGUGAUGUCAGAGGUGGCAGCCAUCUUGAAUGCCGUGAUGUCAGAAGAGCGGCCAUCUUGAGCCACGUGACGUCAGAGCUGGCGGCCAUCUUGUUCCCAGUGGGCAUUGGGACUGGCAGCCAUCUUGAAUGCAGUGAUGUCAGAAGAGGCGGCCAUCUUGAACCCUGUGAUGUCAGACCUGGUGGCCAUCUUGCUCCCAGUGGGUGCCAGGCCUGGCGGCCAUCUUGCCUCAACCUCAUCUCAGCGGCGUCCUCUUCGUCCUGCCCAUGUCGGCCAUCUUGGCCCCAGCAAUCGCUGCUGCCGGUGGCCAUCUUGCUCUCAGUGGGCACGGAUCCAGCAGCCAUCUUGGCUUCAGCAACCGGCAGCCAUCUUGGCUCCAGACAGCGCAGGACGUGGCAGCCAUCUUGCUCCCAACACACAUCCGCCUUGGCGGCCAUCUUGGCUCCAACGGACACCCGGGCUGGCGGCCAUCUUGAACCAGGCUGCAGUGACUCCUUGGCAGCCAUCUUAACCCACGUGGACCCCCAGGCCGGCGGCCAUCUUGGCCCCAUGCAACCCGGCGGCCAUCUUGACUCCAGCGGCCGUCGGAGCCGGCGGCCAUCUUGCCCCCCGGCGCCUCCGCCCGCCUGGCGGCCAUCUCGUCCCUCCCGGCGGCCAUCUUGCGGCGGGAGCCGGCGUCCCUCGGAGGGGGGGCGUGGGCGGGGGCCCCGGGGGGGCCGUUUUUUACCCGUGUACAUUGGCGGGGGCGCGGCCCCCUGUACAGCCCCAUGUAAAAUAGGUUCCUUUUCAACACGAUCUAUGCAAAGGUGCUUUGUGCCGGGCUGGGGGGGGACCCCGGUGGGGUUUGGGGGGUGGGGGGCGUUGUUAGGGUGGGGGGGGAGAUUUUGGGGGGGUGGGGGGGGGGUCCCGGCCCCCCCCCCCCCCCCCCCCCUUCCGGUGUGGGGCACCGUGUACAGGCGGCGGCUGUAAGCUUUCCUCUGCGGGAGAACGCGAUGAAUAAAGGGUUAAAAACGGAGAGUUUUGGGGGGGGG